rnacentral:rRNA from 1 species
GACGAACGCUGGCGGCGUGCUUAACACAUGCAAGUCGAACGGAAAGGCCCUGCUUUUGUGGGGUGCUCGAGUGGCGAACGGGUGAGUAACACGUGAGUAACCUGCCCUUGACUUUGGGAUAACUUCAGGAAACUGGGGCUAAUACCGGAUAGGAGCUCCUGCUGCAUGGUGGGGGUUGGAAAGUUUCGGCGGUUGGGGAUGGACUCGCGGCUUAUCAGCUUGUUGGUGGGGUAGUGGCUUACCAAGGCUUUGACGGGUAGCCGGCCUGAGAGGGUGACCGGCCACAGUGGGACUGAGAUACGGCCGAGACUCCUACGGGGGGAAGGAGGGGGGAAUAGUGCAAAAUGGGCGGAAGCCUGAUGGAGCAACGCCGCGUGCGGGAUGACGGCCUUCGGGUUGUAAACCGCUUUCGCCUGUGAAGAAGAGUGAGUGACGGUAAUGGGUAAAGAAGCACCGGCUAACUACGUG